rnacentral:tRNA from 1 species
GGCCCAGUCGUCAAACGGUUAAGACAUAAUGCUUUCACCAUUAUAACGCGGGUUCGAUUCCCGCCUGGGCUA